AGGAUGAACGCUAGCGGCAGGCUUAACACAUGCAAGUCGAGGGGUAUAGUUCUUCGGAGCUAGAGACCGGCGCACGGGUGCGUAACGCGUAUGCAAUCUACCUUUUACAGAGGGAUAGCCCAGAGAAAUUUGGAUUAAUACCUCAUAGUAUGUGAGAAUCGCAUGGUUUUCACAUUAAAGUUCCAACGGUAAAAGAUGAGCAUGCGUCCCAUUAGCUAGAUGGUAAGGUAACGGCUUACCAUGGCGACGAUGGGUAGGGGUCCUGAGAGGGAGAUCCCCCACACUGGUACUGAGACACGGACCAGACUCCUACGGGAGGCAGCAGUGAGGAAUAUUGGACAAUGGGCGCAAGCCUGAUCCAGCCAUGCCGCGUGCAGGAUGACGGUCCUAUGGAUUGUAAACUGCUUUUUGUACAGGAAGAAACACUCCCUCGUGAGGGAGCUUGACGGUACUGUAAGAAUAAGGAUCGGCUAACUCCGUG
rnacentral:rRNA from 1 species